ACUCCUGCAAUUAAACUCCAUGCCUUCUCUUUACUGGCUUUGUCCUUACAAAAAGGAUCUGUGGUGUUUUCUUUUUGUAUUACCCC